rnacentral:lncRNA from 1 species
ACCUAAGGAAUCUAAACCAUUCUUCUUAGCUCUCAUUUAUCCAUAUCUGGGGUCCUCACUGUAACACCUUAAACACUCCUGUUCGGCGAAUAGCGAUAAUUGAUGCUGCCUCCUUAAUUUCAAGCCAAGAGGGUGCCCACUCCCUGCUGCGUGAAUACAUGAAUAUAACGUAAAAUAUUUUGUUAGAGUUUCUUAUUUUCAAAAUAAUAUCUUUUUAUUUUUAUCCUUUAGAAGCAGUUUUUUUUUUGAAAUUUUGAUCGAUCAUUUUAUUUUACCCAAAGACACUCCGUCUCUUCUGCUUAUCUGCUUGAAAAAGAAUUGAAAUUUUGACCGGCUGCAUUUGUUUGAUAAAAAAGCCAUAUUUUUUUUUACUUCUAUAUAAUACGGUGCACUUCGGCGUUAUCAUAAUUCACUCCUAACGUAUAAGAAGUAUGGGCUUUGUAUCCCGAGGACAGUAUUUCCACAAAACCACCAGCAUGGUUGAAAAAUAAUUAUUUUUAAGAGCUUCUUUGCAUGAUCCCAAUCCAACAGAAUUCACAAUACCAUGGGCCAGACAAGGUCCAUUACACAAAAUUCACAAUUUUUUUUUAGAAUUAGGCAGCCCAAAUUAUAUAGAAAGAAAAAAAAAUGAUCUUAUUCUUUUUUCCACGCUAUAUGAAUGAACGGGAAGAGGUCUACUUGACAUGAGCUGGGCCAGAUCUCAUAUUCGGUAAUAGUAGACAUAAUCAGUAUGCAUUGUUUAAAAGAUAUCUACUGAAUGGAUUAGAUGUGAUACUUGU